rnacentral:rRNA from 1 species
AAUAUAGCACAAUGGGCGAAAGCCCGAUGCAGCAACGCGGCGCGUGUGAUGAAGGCAUACUGGUCGUAAAGCUCUCUGAUCAGGGACGAUAAUGACAGUACCUGAAAAACAAGCAACGGCUAACUACGUCCUAGCACCCGCGGUAAUACGUAGGUGGCGAGCGUUGUCCUGAAUUACUGGGCGUAAAGGAUGCGUAUGUGGAUACUUAAGUGAGAUGUGAGAUCCCCGGGCUCAACCCGGGAACUGCAUUCCAAACUGUGUAUCUAGAGUGCAGGAGAGGAAAGCGGAAUUCCUAGUGUAGCGGUGAAAUGCGUAGAUAUUAGGAGGAACACCAGUGGCGAAGGCGGCUUUCUGGACUGUGACUGACACUGAGGCAUGAAAGCGUGGGUAGCAAACAGG